GACGUAGGUGGCGAACGUUAUCCGGAAUUAUUGGGCGUAAAGGGUGCGUAGAUGGCAUAAUAAGUUAUUGAUGGGAAAUCGAGGCUCAACCUCGUGGAAGUUAAUAAUACUGUUUUGCUUGAGUACAGGAGAGGUUAACGGAACUCCUUGUGGAGGGGUAAAAUCCAAAGAUAUAAGGGGGAACAUCAAUAACGGCGAAGGCAGUUAACUAUUCUGUUACUGACAUUUGAGGCACGAAAGCGUGGGGAGCAAAAAGG
rnacentral:rRNA from 1 species